rnacentral:rRNA from 1 species
UACGUAGGGUGCAAGCGUUGUCCGGAAUUAUUGGGCGUAAAGAGCUCGUAGGCGGUUUGUUGCGUCGGCUGUGAAAACCUGAGGCUCAACCUCAGGCCUGCAGUCGAUACGAGCAGACUAGAGUGUUGCAGGGGAGACUGGAAUUCCUGGUGUAGCGGUGAAAUGCGCAGAUAUCAGGAGGAACACCGGUGGCGAAGGCGGGUCUCUGGGCCGAUACUGACGCUGAGGAGCGAAAGCCAGGGGAGCAAACGGG